rnacentral:rRNA from 1 species
UAUCUCGAAAAUAAAAGAUUUAAAGAGUUUAUUUAGUUUUUGUUUCAGUAAAAUUAAAUAAAACUUUUUGGGAGUGAAAUAUUAAUCGAUUUUAUUUAUAUCUAGUAACUUCAGAAAUAAAUUUAGUUUAGAAUAUUUAGGGUUUCUUAACUUUAAUAUAUUUUUGGAUUUUAGGGGAUGAGCUCUAAAGUUUGUAUAUAAGGUUUGAAUUAUUAUGGUUCUUUUUUAGGCUUAGAAUUAGCUAUAUGAUAGUGUUUUAAGAUAAGAGUUUUAAGUUUAUAAUUUUAUUUUCUUUUACUAUAAUGAGGUUAUUUAUUAAAUUGGAUUUUUUUAGAAAAAAUGAUAAUAUAAGUAGAGAAUAAAAUAAAUUUUUCUUAGUUUGUUAAUUAAAAGAAUUAUAAUAUAAGAAUUCGGCAAAUAUGAUUUCCGAAUGUUUAACAAAAACAUUUCCUCUUGGUAUAGGAGGUAAGGCCUGCUCACUGAGAAGUUGAAGAGCCGCAGUAUAUUGACUGUGCUAAGGUAGCAUAAUCAUUAGUCUUUUAAUUGAGGACUGGUAUGAAUGGUUAAACGAGAGAUCAGCUUUUUUUAUUAUAAAAAUUGAAUUUAACUUUUUAGUGAAAAGGCUAAAAUUUUUCAGAAAGACGAGAAGACCCUAUAGAGUUUUAUAUAUAUAAAAUUUAGGUUUUAUUUGGUAUAUAUAAAUUUAAGUUUGGAAUAUAAUUUGUUGGGGCGACAUUAAGAUAAAAAAAACUCUUUAUUUUUUUAACUUUUAUGGAAGAAUAAGUUGAUCCUCUAAAAGAGAUCAAAAGAAAAAAUUACCUUAGGGAUAACAGCGUAAUCUUUUUUGAGAGUUCUAAUCGACAAAAAGGUUUGCGACCU